rnacentral:lncRNA from 1 species
AAAUAAAAUAAAAAAAAAAACCUCAAAAAGAUGACAAUUAAGGGUAAAAUGUAUACCUUUUCUUGGAGGGGCUCCCCUGUGGAGAAGGAAAAGAAUCCCUUGAAGAUAUAUCAGAAAACUGAUCAUCUUCGGUUGUUGGUUUAGCGGAUAAGAUUGAAAUGGCAUCGGAAAAGCUUUCGGCGAUGGAUUUAGCAAGAUCAUAACUUGAAACCGGUCCGCCAUCAGCCAUUGGAUGGUCGAUCCGCAUCUUUAACCGCAUGGCGCAGCUAAGGCCAUAUCGGAUAGCUUGCACCGCCUUUUCGUGUGGGGAGUUCAUUUCCAUAGAGUAGAGUGAACUUGUGUGUGUGUGUUUCUUGUUUGUUUUCUUUUUCUAAAGUCUCUUCUCCGUGCUAUAAAAUUUUGAACGGAUAGGGAGAUCAGAAUUUAUAGGACAACUUUAGGCAAAAAAAAAAUUUUAAUUAGACGAUUAUAAAUUAUAUUUUCGAUAUAGGACAUGUGCUCGGCUAGACCUAUAUCGUGAAUCUAAAUAAAGAGAGACAAAAAGAUAGAUUAGGUGUUGACCUUAGCAUAUGAUCUGUCAUGUAUAGGAAACAUAAUUCAUUUUAUAUACCUUUCCCAGUACGCGGCUCAGUUAAUUAUAUACAAUUUUUUUAUACAUUAUUUCAGAAUUUCUCUGUUUUUAGUUACACUAAUCUACGCGGUUCGCUUAAUUAUUAAAGAUUAAAAAAUAAAAAACAACGUCUGUUAGAAUACUUAAGGGGCUUAAUGGUUUUCCUUGAGUAUAUAAGACAGGAGGAAUCUAAUAGAAAACUGUGUUCUACAAAAAGUCAGAUAGAUUAGAGAGAGUUAUGAGCUAUGAUAAACCCCAAAAUAUUAAUGAUUUUAAAAUUUUCUAUUGUAAUCUUUCCAUUUCAAUAAAAGUGUUGGUAAUUUUUUAAAAUCUGAUUUAGAAAAUAAAUAGCAGAAAAAUUUUAAGGAUAAAUUUGUUUGCUUAAUUUUGUUGAUUGAGUCGUUAAAUAUAUUUUCUGUAAUAUUUUGAUGGCUUGUUUUAAUUAUAAUUUAUACGUUAAAUAUUAAAAAGAGUUUAAAAGAUAAUAGAUUUUACGUUCAUAUACUGUAUAUGACAGAAAUAUAAAUAUAUGUAAUAAAUUGGACGUUUACAAAAAAAAUAUAACAUAUUUUACACGUCCCGCAAUGUUUAACUCAUAUAGAUGAAACGUGUAAAAUAAUUUUUGCUGAAUAUAAUAAGCUUUGAACCUUAUAUAUGAUCAAUUCAUUGUUUUGUAAUGAAAAUACUCCACUAAAAAUGUUAAUCACUGGUGGAUAUCUUUUUUUUUUUUUUUUUUUGACAUCUUUGGAUCGACAAGGCCCGAAUCACUGGUGGAUAUCUUUAAUGCUAAAAUUAUUUAAUUUUGUAGUGAGUUUUAGUUUAGACUUUAAAUAAAAAUGCAAAUAUUUAGACUUAGACCAGACAAAAGAAAAUUAUUAGGUAAUAGAUUAACAUUAACAAGUAAGAUCUAACAAUUUUUCAACGCUUAUAAAAAGAGAUAUAUAAUUGCGAUGGAGCUGGCGAGUGGCGACUAAUGCACCAAUGAAAACGGCAUUAGUUUCGUCGGACACUCGACGUCAGCCCCAUGACGUAGUUAAAACCGAAGGGGCUGUUUCAGCAGAUUGACGUCAGAACAUUAAUACAGAUGUUGAUUAUAAUAGUAUAUACUAACGACAACUACUAGUCAACUAUGCUGUGAGAUUCAUUUGCUGGCUACUAGUCCAUAUUUUAUUUUAAUCUAAAAUUAAGAAUUUGUAAUUAAUAAGCUUUGCAAAAAAAAUUGGGUAAACUUGAAUCUCAUACAAAAGAAAAUUUAGUAAUUACAUUUUAAGCGGAUAAAUUGAUAAAAUAUACAUAUAAUAGCUUGUUUUUGAAUAUAUAGUACAAUCUGAAAACUAACCGAUCCAAGUUAUAUAAUCACAUUUUAAAGUAGUAGAUGGCCAACCCAAAAAGAUUUCCCUAUCAGAUUGUGGUAUUUACUGGCAGGGCCGGUCCUAAUGUGUGGGAGGCCUAAAGCAAAUCACUGAACAUGUGGCCUUAUUUUAAAAACAAUUUUAAUGUAUAUUUUUACUUAUAAAUUUUCUGAAAAUAAAAUGUAAAACUUACUAGAUUUUUAAUUUUAUAGUGCAAAACUAAAUAAAUCUUAUUUAAAAAAUAAAGUUUGGAUUAAAUAUAUAUACUUCUGAUAUGAAAUUGUUUAGUUUUCAAAUUACAUGUAGUUCCGCUUUGAUUAUUAUUUUAUUUUAAAUGUUGAAAAAAAUGAGAGAUGAUAGACUUUAGUGAGAAUUGAAAAUAUAUAAACUAAAAAGGAAAUAUUAAUUUAGGGCUUGAUUGGUUCUCCCGCUAGGACCCGUCUAGCGGUUGCUAGCGCGCGGUUGCGGUUGUUAGCGGUUGGUACCAAUCAUAGAAAUCGCUCCAUACCGUUUCGAACCGCUCCAAAUCGCUGGAUUUCAAAAGCUCCUUUUCGCAAGUGUUUGCGGUUGCGGACGGUAGCGGUUGGAUUAAAAAAAAACGUUUACUUAUAAUUAUUAGAAUAUAUAUUAAUCCUAUACUUAUAAUCUUGUAUUAAAAUUUCUUUAUUUUUGAAUAAUUAUUUAGUACUUUAUUUAUGGUUUUAAUUAUUAAGCAUGUUCAAUUUUUUUAAUAUUAUCAUAAUAAUAUAUUGGUGUUUUUAUUUUUAUUUUUUAGUAAUAUUUCUUAUCUAUUUUAGUCAUUUUUUAAUUUAACUGCUACCGCACCUGCUGGUUUAUCAGUCAUAAAACUCCCGCAAACGCAUCCAUUUUCAAACGCUAAACCAGUCGUUCAAAACGCUUAGUAACGCUUGAAGCUGCAACCGCCCGCUUUCGCAAACUCCCGCAAUCACUGCGUUUAAACCAGUCAGACCCUUAGAAGAUAUGGAAUAAGUAAAAAUGGAAAGCAUAUGAAUGAUCUGAAGUCGUGAGACACUUUCUUAUUAAGAGAAACAUAACACAAAUGUCAAUAUAUAACAGAUUUACUUUUGGAUAUUGUGGCCUCAAAAUUUAGUAUUUUAAAUGUAGCCUAAAGCAUGAUGUUUUGUCUGCUUUAUGGCAAAGCCGGCCCUGUUUACCAGCAAUGAAUUAACCACCAAUUCAUGAAACUGUACAACAAAAUACGACUUUUUUAGAAUGGUAAGUUCUAUUUACCCAUCAAUUUAACAACCCUAUCACUUCUGCGGGUGAAUAAUGUUAAUUGAUACUUUGAUAGAUAUCUCCAUAAAAGAAAUAUAUUUAUAAAUUUUCGCAUGUGACUUUAAUUUGAUCUGAUCUGUGAAACUUUGCCCACGUGUAUUUUGUUCUUGUUAUUAGCAAUUUGUUAAAUAUUGUUCUUGUUAUUGGCUAUAUUAUAUUGAGAAAGGGGUCACAUAUGUACAAGUCAAGCAAAGCUAUAUGGGUCAAGUCAUAUUAUUUUAUGUGUCGAAAGGAAAUGUGAAUGUGAACAUGACUUACAUGAUAAUAAUGUUGAUACAUUUUUAAAUAUUUUAUUUAUUAGCUAAUUAAACCAAGUAGUUAAUCAAAGCGAGAAAACAAAACUAUAUUCUAUAUUCUUUGUCCACGAAUUCACCUCUCUCUCAGGACUAGACCUAGCCGCCGCUCUCUCAAGUUUACAAGUUUGCCCAGAUCGGUGACCGGAGUACGGUGGCUCCUCUAGCACCGGCUUCGGUCCUCCUUUUGUUCUUUCCUUUCUUGGUUUUAGUUUUGUGUUAAUUAAAAGAAUCUUGUGGCCUUCGAUUGGGGUUUCGAUUUAGUUUGAUCGGUUUGUGAUUUUGGGUGUUUGUCGGAAGCGGUUUGAGUGUUUCAGAUUUGUGGUUCAGGGCUCUUGCGAAGAUGAUGGAGCCGGAUCUGAGAUCGACGGUGACGAGUAUGUAAUAAAGCCAUUGCUUUUCGCCUUCCCCAAAUCCAGAUCUGUUACUCGCUCUUGUGCUUCAUGGUGUUUUGAUGUCGCGUGCUUGGCUUGUGUGAGCUCUGUAGUUAGCUUUCAUCUUGCCUUAGCCUCUCCGCUCACCCUUAUUGCCUGGUUUAGCUAAUAGUUGCUCGUUUGGUUCGUCUCCUUUCUAAGAUAAGGCCUUUGUUGUGUGAAGUUAUGCUAGUGUCGUUUGGCUUCAGAUCUUUCUUCUCUUAGGUGGAAGUUACUGGUGAUGAUUUCCGUUGUAGAUGAGUGUCGUUUUUUUUCUUGAUUUCGAAGCUCAUCGAGGUGGUUAUGUUUCGCUCCUUGUCUCUGCGUUUCCGAAUCAGGAGGAUGUCGGAUUGCAUCUUUUUGACUUCUAUCAAGGCGUUCUUUGACGCACCCUCGUCGCAGCCGCAUUUGGAAGUGUUUAAUGAGGAUCUAUUUGGACCUUUACUUGUCAGAUUAUGAAGUCAUUGUUACUUGGUUUCGAGAGAUCUUCUCUCAUUGUGAUAGGAGGAAGCAGUUGUGAUUAAUGGUUGGCCUUGGGCAGCAUUGAUAUAGCUCAUUCGCAGAAACUUCAGAAGAAGAAGAUCGAUUUGGUUAUUUUGACUUAGUGUUUAUCUUCUUGUUUAUUUUUAGUUUGCCUCUUUUCUUAGUUUUUGGUUUCGUUCUCUUUCGAUUUCGGCUUUAAAAGUUUAUGUUGUUUUUAGCGUAGACUUAGAUUUUGGGGAAUUCUCUUUUUUCUCCGACUUUGUCUUCGGGGACUUUUCCUUUGUCCGCCGGCUUAGCUUCCCUCUUUUGGGCUUUAGACUCCGGGGAUAUCUUUGUUUUCCGCCGGCUUAAGUAUUUCACCUUGCUCGAAAUCUUACAUUUUUCCUACUUAACUAAUAGAUAACCUACCCAAGUUAAAUGUCUUAACCACAUUUAUCUAUACAAAACAGACAAGCUACAUCCUUGGAUAAAAAAAAUAACAAGCCACAACUUUUAAACAACAUAUACAAAUUCUCUCUUUAUGGUUGUACUUGUAUAGUCAUAGAUUUUAUUAGACCAAGAUGAUUGAAAAUUGUAGAUAAAAGGCCUUUUGAAAUACUUAAACUUUGUUAUCAUCAGAGUCGUUAUUGAUAGCAAUUUUGGCAAAUGAAAACUCAGGUUUAUAGUGAGGAGUACGGUUUCCUUGAACCACCUUUCAUUAGACUUGUAGAAGAAGCACAUGAUCCAGCUUCCUUCUUCUUUUCACCCAUCUAAUUCUGGAUUUCUUCUUCGACAUGUAAUAUAUUCAUUUAUUCAAAGUUUAAAUAUUGUCAAACCAAAGCUACUUUUACUUAGUCCAUUUAAAUAGAAUCUUAUUAGGGAAUUUAAAUUGUUACGUUAGUAACGCAACGGAAGAGAAAAACUUAGGAUACCUGGACUUAUCAGCAAUUUCAAUGGACUUAUAAAAAGCCAUUUGAAUUUGAGAUAUUUUUUUUGUUAUAGAUAAACAAAUUACCUAAAACUAACCAAUCCAAGUUAAUGUGAACAUGGCUUACAUGAUAAUAAAAGAUUGUUAAUAUAUAUAGUAUAAUCUGAAAACUAAGCAAUCCAAGUUAUACAAUCAUGUUUUUAAAGUAACAGAUGGUCAAUCCAAAAAAAUUUCCUAAUCAGAUUGUAUUCAUCGAUGGUAUAUAUAUUUUUUUUUUCAUCGAUGGUAUUUACAGGCCAUGGAUUAACACCAAUUCAUUAAACUGUACAACAAAUUACGACUUAUUUAGAAUGGUAAGUUCUAUAUAUUUACCCAUCAAUUUAACAACCUUAUCUUCUUCUGCGGGUGAAUAAUGUUAAAUUGAUAGAUAUCUCCAUAAAAGAAAUAUAUUUAUGAACUUUCGCAUGUGACUUGAUCUGAUCUGUGAAACGUUGCCCACGUGUAUUGUUUAGGUAUUCGUACUAUAUUGAGAAAGGGGUCGCAUAUGUAUAAGUCAAGCAAAGCUAUGGGUCAAGUCAUAUUAUUUUAUGUUGCGAAAGGAAAUGUGAAUGUGAACAUGACUUACAUGAUAAUAAUGGUGAUACAUUUAUAAUAAUUUUAUUUAUUAGCUAAAUAAACCAAGUAGUUGGAACGUUGCUUCCAUGACUUCUUUUAUCUGACGACGACUUCAACCAAAUUUCCCCAUUUUCAAUAAUCCUAUACAGAACUUAUCUUUAUAUUAACUUCUUCUGGACUUUUAAAUUCAAGAUAUUUAUCUGUAGAUUCGAUCGUGCUUCCAGCUUUAAUAAAUAAAUAGUUUUGACGUCCUGAUUUUUCCUAAUAAGGUAAAAAAAAAAAAUCCAUCGUCCUUGCUCGCGAUCUUACAUUUUUCCUACUUAACUAUUCCCUCCGUUUCAGUUUAGUUGUCGUUUUAGGAUUUAAAUUUUGUUUCAUAAUAGUUGUCGUUUUAGGUUUUCAAUGCAAAUAUUUGGUAAAAAUUCCAGUUUUAUCCCUACAGUUUUAAUGUUUUGGCCAAUGAAAUUUUUUAUAAAAUAUAUUAAUAAAGAGUAAAACAGAAAAUUUAAUACUUUCUUAAUUUGUGUGAAAAAACCUUAAACGACAACUAAAACGAAACGGAGGGAGUAAUAGAUAACCUACCCAAGUUAAAUUUCUUAACCACAUUUAUCUAUACAAAACAGACAAGCUACAUCCUUGGAUAAAAAAAUAACUAGCCACAACUUUUAAACAACAUAUACAAAUUCUCUCUUUAUGGUCAUAUAGAUUUUAUUAGACCAAGAUGAUUGAAAAUUGUAGCGCCCUUUUAAGUAGAUAAAAGGCCUUUUGAAAUGCUUAAACUUUGUUAUCAUCAGAGUCGUUAUUGAUAGCAAUUUUGGCAAAUGAAAACUCAGGUUUAGUGAGGACUACGGUUUUCUUGAACCACCUUUCAUUAGACUUGUAGAAGAAGCACAUGAUCCAGCUUCCUUCUUCUUUUCACCCAUCUAAUUCUGGAUUUCUUCUUCGACAUGUAAUAUAUUCAUUUAUACAAAGUUUAAAUAUUGUCCAACCAAAGCUACUUUUACUUAGUCCAUUUAAAUAAAAUCUUAUUAGGGAAUUUAAAUUGUUACGUUAGUAACGCAACGGAAGAGAAAAACUUAGGAUACCUGGACUUAUCAGCAAUUUCAAUGGACUUAUAAAAAGCCAUUUGAAUUUGAGAUAUUUUUUUUGUUAUAGAUGAACAAAUUACCUUUAGGAGUUAUAAAAAAACAAUGACUAAUAGGCUUUUUAUUUUUUAUUGGGCUUUUGCAUAUAUCUAUGUUUACCAAUACUUUCCAGCCCAUGCAUUAAUUGUUUCUUCAAUAGAAAAAUGUUUUACUACUUUGGGUUUUUGGAGCUAAGUAUAGCUGUAUAGGCCAUUCCACGGUCGAUCGAUAACUUCCCAGCAAUUUGAACCAGUUCGCAUGUUACCCGACCUAGCUCGUUUGCACUCUAUAUAAGCUUUUCUCAUUUCAGACCUUUUCAAUCAAUCUUGCUCCUCUGCUUCUCCGCUCUACGAAAUCAUGCUCGGCAUUAGCUACGGUUGGACCAUUUUUAUACGGAGCACAAUGCAUUUUCCCCUACAGCAUUUCACAACGCUCACCUAAGCACUUCUCAUGAGGUAAAACGUACAUGUGUGAAGAUAACAAAUUUGAAUGAAGGAUAAAAAAAAAUUAAGCAAAAUAAAAUUGUGGGGAGUGUCUUUCCUCAAAUGGUUAAAGGUCCACAUUCUUCCUAUUGAAAAUUCGACUCCAAUAAAUCACGUUACUCCGCGUAUUAGGGAUUAAGUUAUUGGUUGGGUAUUCUCGACCCAAAUAACAGAAAGAAAAAAAAAAAAAGGUAAAAUUGUUUUACCAUGGCAUACCAUAAAUCUCCUCAUCGGAUCCGGUCCAUAUUUUGUUUCUCAAAAAAAUAGUACCAAUAAUGUUAGGCAAUGGGUCGAUAUAAUGUCAUUUUCAGUGGGAAUUGAUUUAAGAGCAUGGCCACAUGCUACUUUAAUCAUAUCUUUAAGAGGGAAAUAAUGAAGAAAAUAGAAUUGAUGGGUCCAAGUUUCAUGUGACUGGAGAAGAAUGAAGGAGCGCAAGAAGGAUCAUAGAAAAGAAAUAGUCUGGCUGAAUCAAACUUUAUUGUAAAAGGGGUUCACAAAAGAUGAGCUGACACAAAUCCAUGCACCAUGUUUCUCUUUCCAUUGGAUUUUUUUUUCCUCUCAGAUCUUCUUCCCAAAAAAAAGAAGAUCUGUAUACCUUUUCUUAGGGACCUUAGGGUUGAGUGAUUAGCAUAUUCAAAUCUAACUUGAAAUGAAAGAAAUUACCAAGUCAACUGAAUCCACUUUGGUAUGAUUUAAGAUUGGUUUAUAGGUUCAAUUUGGUUCGGUCAAAUUGAUUUGAUCAUUGUAAUAAGAAUCUUAAAAUAGGAUUAUCAAAUCGUGUAGUUUCCUUUGGAUCAAUAUUCCAUGGAAUUUAUUCACGUUUUUUGGUCGAGGAAAAUUAAUCCAAAAUCUACCAUCAUUUUGAUUUUGAUAUAACGAACUCAUUUUCUUAUAUUGACGAAAUUCGCCUACCAGUCUUUGAUAGAAUCAUAUCGAUUUGAUCAAAUACAUGCAUGCAUAUGGAGAAAAUUAACAAACAAAACAAAUGUGAGGUUAUUUUCAGUUCUUGUGGGUACACAAUGUAGGACAUCGCAAAUGAGACUUGAGAGUACCUAAAUGAAUCAUUUUUCUUCAUCACAUACAUACUACAAGAAAAUAAACAAUACCAUCACCGUGAGCAAUAUUUAUGUCGCCAUAUAAUCUUUAAUAUGUUUCCAAAUAAAUUGAAGAUAGCAAUACAUAUGGUGAUAGACAACGACGGAACCAACCAUUCACGUGCUAAUUUUUUUUGUCACCAUCGAUGAGAGAGAUGAUCAGAUGAACAGUACUAUUUUUCUCACUAAUGGUAAGACCUUACGUCAAGAUUAUUCGGUAGGGAAAAUCAGAUAUGCAACGUUUUUGAAUAUCAAAGAGAAGUCGGAAAAAAAAAUGACUUCUUUGUAUAUAUCAAUCACAUCGAACGUGAGACUAAACCACUUACCACGCUUAUAAGUUUCUUACUUAUAACAAUAAUGUUUCACUUGUGCUUUUAACAAAAAAUAAACAACAAUGUUUCAAAAAAAAAGUUGUGAUCCGAUUUAGUAGGUACGGUGAUGUAUGCGUUUUUAUCAAUUAAUAAUCUAAAUGCAUCAACGAUCUAUCGCGAAAGUAUUUUAGAUGUCGAACCACAAGGAAUAAAGAUUGCAACACUAAAGAUGCGAGAUUCAAACUAAUCUAGAGGAAAUGAUUUUUAGGUUUUUGUUUUGAUGAAAAGAUAAGAAAUCCAAGAAGUAAAAUAAAGAAAAAGCAUUGGACCAUGGGUUUAACUAUCAUGAGAAUUGAUUAACAUUCAAACAAUGAUGCAAGAGGUUGAAUUAAGCACCAUCCUAGAACAUGAAACUCACAAUUAUGAUAAAUCCACUUCCAUGGUACUAAUCACUUCACUAAUCAUAUAAUCAUCAACAACUUCCGUUCCCAAUCAAAUGACCAAUGAGCAUUAAAAACAAGUCCAAUUAGUUCACUAAACACUCUAUUCAUCAACUCCCGUUGGCUAGAUAUGUAAAGCUCAUAAAGGUUUGGUUCAAGCAUUUUCACAAACACCUUCCGGGCAUGAAUUGCAUAAGGUCUAGAUUUUGAGUGAUCAAGUCAAAACUAGCAUUAAGAGCAACCUAGAUGAAGGAUCUAACAAUAAGCAGCCUAAAUCAUCAUCAUCUAACCAUCAAAUUAUCCUAAUCUAGCAUAACCCAUUAUCCAACAAAAAGACUAGCUACUAAACAUGGUGAAAGAUAAAAAAAAAAUGCGUAACAUAAAGAUACAAGAUAAAGAUGAAGAAUCCUUCACUAAAGUGGCAUGAAUUGUUGAAGAUCAAUCCAAAAUAUCAAGAAGAGAGUUUGGAUCCUAAUCCAACUCUAGAGAAGAAAACUUAGGUUACAAAAUGUCUAAAAAUUGCUUAAAUACAAAAUAGAAUCGAACCGGAUUGACCCGAGAUAAACCGGGUCAAACCCAAAAAUUUGCAAAGGCUUCUAUAGAUGCAUAGGUCGAUUGCUCCCUCGAUUGCUUCUCGUCUGCAGCCUGUUAUCGUCCCAAUCGACCAUUAAAUCGACCAACAGGUCGAUUGAAAUGUUCAGUGACUCCUCCUUUGUUCUUUUCCGCGCCUGAGUGAUAUAUCUCUAUUAAAACCACCAUAAUUCUUGCAUCGAAGCUCUGAUUCGCUUGAAAUCACCUCCGUUGGAAAUAUAACUCAAUUUCCUAUAACUUGUAUGAAGAGUUCUGAAGCUAAAUCAUCAAUUCUCUUCUUUGCAUCCAAAUGUGUGUCGUCCAUUAUUUUAACCUGAAAUUGCUCAAAAGACACACAAAACACACCAAAAGACACACAAAGACACUAUAGGACUUUUAAAAUGGAAGAAGACUCACUUGGACACUAAAUGCAACAAAACACAAUUAAAAUAUUAAUGAAACACAAUAAAAUGGAUCUUAACAACAACGAUAAAGCGGUAAAUAUAAAGUAUAUCAUAUGGCUAGAACAGCAUCGCUAGUGUUUGGAUAGAAAAAAUAAAUGUUCGAUUUAAACGUGUUGAACUCUUCAGAUAUCCCAAAUUCCCAAUCCUAUAAAUAUUGUUGGUAUGGUCCAUGUGGUUACAACAAAACGGUCAAAAUAUCAAGUAUAUAGUAGUUAAAAAAUGGCUGAUGAAGUUAUUAGAUAUAUUCCAUUACAGUUUUUUUAUCAGUUAAAUCAACUGAAACAAAGUUCUUAGAAUUGUUUUUUUUCUAGAUUAGUCAUAUAUUUAGAAUUUGUGUGGUACGCCCUAGCUAGCUGGUGCGGCUAUGCAUUACAGCUACACAAGUUAUUUUUUUCGGUGAAUGAGAACACAGACAUGCAAAUCCACUUAAAGUCAAAACUAUUCGAAACCUAAAAUUUCGGACAGUAAAUUCGAAAUACAAAUUAUAACCUGACAAAACAUGUAAGUUGUCAAAGACUAGUUGAAAAACAAAUGAAAACCAAGCAAAAAAAUUGUUUAAAUUCAGAGACAAAUAGUCAUAUAGGUAAUGUCAGAAGCAGACAGAAGAUUGUACAUUGAAAUCAAGCACAGCAAAAAGCAUUAUUGUUCACACACAUGUGUACAGACAUACACACGUGUACAUUCACACGUGCACACAUACAUAGGAAUCUCCACCUCUAUAUAAGAAAUGCUUCAACAUAAGUAUACUUGUAAGUGUGUGAAGCUUAAGUAAUAAAAUUAAUGGCAACUUCAGGGUUUAAGCAUUUGGUGGUUGUGAAGUUUAAGGAAGAUGCUAAGGUUGAUGAGAUCUUGGAGGGCUUGGAGAAUCUUGUUUCUCAGAUUGAUACUGUCAAAUCCUUUGAAUGGUUUGUGAUCAUUGUUUUUUUUUUUCUUUCUAUAAUUAAAAUAAUAUUUUGGAUCUCUAGCUAGUUAAUGACCGUACGAUUUGAUGAUAACUAGGGGAGAAGAUAAAGAGAGUCACGAGAUGCUUAGACAAGGAUUCACUCACGCAUUUUCAAUGACCUUUGAGAACAAAGAUGGUUACGUUGCCUUUACAAGCCAUCCUCUUCACGUUGAAUUCUCAGCCGCUUUCACCGCCGUUAUCGACAAGAUUGUUCUCCUGGAUUUCCCGGUCGCCGCCGUCAAAUCUUCCGUUGUUGUAACACCUUGAAUCUUGUGUUCAUAUCGAACUUGUUUCCUAAUGUAAACGAGGUUUGAGUUGUUUGGUUAUGUAACUCGGUUGGUUAAGUAUGUUUUGGUUUGAUUUGUUUAGUUUCGGUUUUUGAUAAUAAGAAUCUGGUUUUGUUGGAACUUGGAAGUUUAUGAUUUCUUUUAUAAGUAAGUGUUUUCUUAAAGUGAAAAUGGUAAUACUGAAUUAUGUUUUCAUGUGAGUAAUGUGUCUCUUUUUGCUUCAAAUAUAAUUUAUCAGAAUAAACAAAUAGAAAAUA